rnacentral:rRNA from 1 species
AAAACAUGGCUUGUUGAUAAUAAUUUCAGGUCUGGCCUGCCCACUGAUUUAAUUAAAUGGCCGCGGUAUAUUGACUGUGCAAAGGUAGCAUAAUCACUAGUUUUUUAAUUGAAAGCUUGAAUGAAGGGUUUGAUGAGAAAGUUUCUGUCUCUGUGGUAAUAGUUUAAAAUUUUAUUUUUAAGUUAAAAAGCUUAGAUUGUUGUAGAAGACGAGAAGACCCUAUAGAGUUUUAUAUUUGUGGAAAAGAGGGUAAUAGGGAAGAAUUUAUGGUUCUUUUUUAUAAGUAUUUUGUUGGGGUGAUGAAAAAAUUGAAAGAACUUUUUUUAAUUUAGACAUUGAUUUAUGAGUUUGUGAUCCUAUUAAUUUAGAUUAUAAGAUUAAAUUACCUUAGGGAUAACAGCGUAAUUUUUUUUAGAGUUCUUAUCGAAAAGAAAGAUUGCGACCUCGAUGUUGGAUUAAAAUUAAUAGUUGGUGCAAAAGCUAAUAUAUUAGGUCUGUUCGACCUUUAAAAUUUUACAUGAUCUGAGUUUAGACCGGUGUAAGUCAGG